UACAGAGGGGGCAAGCGUUGUUCGGAAUUACUGGGCGUAAAGGGCGCGUAGGUGGCGGGCCAAGUCCAUGGUGAAAGCUCGAUGCUCAACAUCGAGUCGGCCACGGAUACUGGUUCGCUGGAGCACUGUAGAGGCAGAUGGAAUUCCGGGUGUAGCGGUGGAAUGCGUAGAGAUCCGGAAGAACACCGGUGGCGAAGGCGGUCUGCUGGGCAGUUGCUGACACUGAGGCGCGACAGCGUGGGGAGCAAACAGG
rnacentral:rRNA from 1 species